UUGGAGGGCAAGUCUGGUGCCAGCAGCCGCGGUAAUUCCAGCUCCAAUAGCGUAUAUUAAAGUUGUUGCAGUUAAAAAGCUCGUAGUUGAAUUUCGGGAUCAAUUUAUUGGUCGUGCUAUUGUACGUACUGGUAUUAUUGAUUCCUACCUUCUGACGAACCAUGAUGUCAUUAAUUUGGUGUCAUGGGGAAUCAGGACUGUUACUUUGAAAAAAUUAGAGUGUUUAAAGCAGGCUCACGCUUGAAUACAUUAGUAUGGAAUAACGAAAUAGGACGUUUGAUUCUAUUUUGUUGGUUUCUAGGAUCGACGUAAUGAUUAAUAGGGAUAGUUGGGGGCAUUAGUAUUCAAUUGUCAGAGGUGAAAUUCUUGGAUUUAUUGAAGACUAACUACUGCGAAAGCAUUUGCCAAGGAUGUUUUCAUUAAUCAAGAACGAAAGUUAGGGGAUCGAAGACGAUCAGAUACCGUCGUAGUCUUAACCAUAAACUAUGCCGACUAGGGAUCGGAUGAUGUUAAUUUUUUAAUGACUCAUUCGGCGCCUUACGGGAAAC
rnacentral:rRNA from 1 species